rnacentral:rRNA from 1 species
AAUCAACGCUGGCGGCGUGCCUAACACAUGCAAGUCGAACGCGAAAGCCCCGCAAGGGGUAAGUAGAGUGGCAAACGGGUGAGUAACACGUGGGUGACCUGCCUUCGAGUGGGGGAUAACGUCCCGAAAGGGACGCUAAUACCGCAUAACAUCCUGCCUUUGAAGAGGUGGAGAUCAAAGCCGGGACCGCAAGGCCUGGCGCUCAAAGAGGGGCCCGCGCCUGAUUAGCUAGNGGUGAGGUAAUGGCUCACCAAGGCAACGAUCAGUAUCCGGCCUGAGAGGGCGGACGGACACACUGGGACUGAGACACGGCCCAGACUCCUACGGGAGGCAGCAGUGGGGAAUUGUUCGCAAUGGGCGCAAGCCUGACGACGCAACGCCGCGUGGAGGAUGAAGACCUU